GGACCGCAGGCCCGGGCCGGGCGUUGGCGUCCCGAAGCUGAUCGAUAAGCGGCCGAGCUUCGCGGACAAUGCCGCCGACGGUGUACGGAAAAAUCGCGUCCGAAACGGCGUUGUCGGGCGCCGUUAUUGUCGCGGAGGCGCCCGCGCGCACGAUAAUAAUAUUGUUUUACCGUCGGUUACGGCCGCGGUAGCAAAUUUUCGCGGCACGUCUAGAAAACACCGGCUAUGAAACGUACUAACGAUAUUGCUAUUCCGACGAGACGCGAUGGCGAUGUUCGAUAUUAUUGUGACGACAGCGUAAUCGCGGCGAAAUUUUAAAACGGACAGACUGACGGACGGACGGACGGACCGCUCGCGUUUUCUAAUAAUAAUAUCGAUCGGCGAUGAUCCCGCGGUACGACGGACACAGCGACGGG